GAACUCUCUCAAAAUUUGAAUGGA
rnacentral:siRNA from 1 species